CGAGUUGGCCAGACAGUUGCCGCGUUCGCAAGAACGGGGAGGAAAGUCCGGGCUUCAUAGAGCAGGGUACCAGGUAACGCCUGGGCGGUGUGAACCGACGACAAGUGCAGCAGAGAGGAGACCGCCAAUCUUCGGAUUGGUAAGGGUGAAAGGGUGCGGUAAGAGCGCACCGUGCGACUAGUAAUAGUUCGUAGCAAGGUAAACUCUACCCGAAGCAAGACCAAAUAGGGUUCCAUACGGCGCGGCUCGCGUUGGAACCGGGUAGGUCGCUUGAGCCUGUGAGCGAUUGCAGGCCUAGAUGAAUAACUGUCCACGACAAGACCCGGCUUAUCGGCCAACUCACCUA
rnacentral:RNase_P_RNA from 2 species